ensembl:snRNA RNU6ATAC21P RNA, U6atac small nuclear 21, pseudogene
GUAUUGUAUGAAAGGAGAGAAGGUUGGCAUUCCCUUUGACAAGGUUGGAAGAGGCCCUCAGGCCUGACAACAAGCAUUUAGUUAAGGCAUUGCCACCUACUUCGUGGCAUCUAACCAUUAUUUAAA